UUCUUUCCUUUCCUUUUCUUUCUUUCUUUCUUUCUUUCUUUCUUUCUUUCUUUCUUUUAAAAAUCAAUUGAUGUUCUAAAUAAGAUUGGAACAUUAAAUAUUUUGUGCUGGUUUUUAAUCAGUGAAGCCAGAGUCUUGGUGGUGAAUUUUUGGGAGUUUUUUCUUACAUGUGUUUACGAGGUUGUAAGUAAAUUCGGUUAAAUAAAAAUAAGAAUGUUUUCCAUGAAAGAAAGAGAAAAAAGAAAAGAAAAAGAAAAACAGAGAGAGAAGAGAUGAGAAUGCCAGUUAUGGGGUGAAUAUGCGCCAUUUGCUUUUGCUACGUUUGCAGACCAGCCGUCCGCCGUUGCAGCCAUGCAUGCACUGAAUGCAAGAACAUCUUGCCCUGAUCCAGUAAAAUGCCCUGCAUUGCUGUAGUGUUUGUUUUACAUGAAACUUAAGUUCUGUCCCAGCUAACAUUAUAUAUUGCUGCUGUGGUUUGAGGCAAUGCUAAUUUCAUUUUUCAAUUUGAAGUCUGAGAAAAAUUCUUAUACUGAAGUGGCUGGUAUCCAGUUAGUGGUGAGGGCGCCCUCACUGGGUUGUUUUUAUGCAUCAGGGUCAUAUUUAGAUUAAUUGCAAUGCUGUGUGUGUUAGACAUGCCACCAAUAACUGAAAACUCUUGGCUCUGAACCUUUGUUGCAGGGGAUGGUUUUCGAUCUUGAAAGGGGAUCAACCCUAUAUACUGAUCUUGCAAAAUCUAAUGCCAGAUCUAUAUCUAAUGGAUCUUGCAAAAUUUAAUGCCUGCAUUAAAUUUCCAUGUAACUGACUUUUCUUCUUAUUUAUAUUACUUGAUUUUGAGGAUCAGCGAUGAAUGGUCUGGUUUGGAUAAGAAGGCUGGAGGGUCCUCUGGAUUCUUGAUGGCUCUCCUGAUUCAGCAGGUUUUGGCAGCGUUCACUUGCCUGGAAUGACUAUUUCUGCUUUCAACACGAUUGGUAUUCCCAUCUGCACAAAGGUCAUUUGCACUUCUUGAGCACAUCUUUAUUAUGGAGCUAGAAAUGAGUCAAAGCUGGAAAACUGGUUAGAUUACCUCACUGCUUUUGUUUUUAUGCAAAUAUCAGUCCCAUGAGUUCUGCACCUUUCUUUUCUAUCCCAAGUUUUAUCUCCUCGAAAUAGAAUUGCUAUCAUGUUCUUAUUGUUUGAGAAAUUGUUCAUUUCUAGAUCUGGAUUUUUUGUAAUUCUCUUGUGGAACUAAAAUUGUUCAAUUUAGUUCAUAGGAUAAGUUGUACUUGUAAGUAGUCGUAGAAUGCUGGAAUAUUUACCAUGGAGAAACAUGACAUGCAAAUGUACUUAGAGUAGAUUGUACUCCUGUAAGAGUUCUUGCACAUCCUUUAUGUUAUUAUGGGCCCAUUUAUUGUUGGAUUGUUUUCUAAUCAAAAUAACAGGAUGUGAUCUGUACAAAAGCAUUUAGUCUCUGAUGAUGAUAAACUAAUGUUUCCUACAUCCCCAUGUCCAGCACUCUUUGUGGCUAAUCUGGGGCAAAAUUGUACAGAGCAAGAGCUAAUUCAAGUAUUCUCAAGGCAAGGAAGCAUUACUCAUUCCAAGUGUGAUAUUCUGCUGAUUCUUUUUCUAAAAAAAGGAAUAAGUAAAAAUACAUGAUGAUAAGUAACUUGAAGGGCAAUAAUACUUUUUUUUUUUGGUAACCAUGGGUGUCCGGAUUAGCUUACGCACAUCUCAACUAAUCCUUCGAGGCCCUGAAGUUAAUGACCAUGUAUUCCUCCAGUUGCUCUGACGUUUGUGGCACUCGAACUGAUAAACUUUAGAUAACAAACUUAGAAUUUGAUCAGUUAAAUCAUACUCGGAGAGCAAUAAUACUUGCAAUGCCUUUGAGUAACCAUAGCAAAGGCCUUCUUUUGAAAAGGAAAGUGGAAUAUUUGAAUGAAUUUCCCUGUAACUUGUAACUAUCUAUACAGGUUUGGCUUCAAGGUAACGAACGAAUAGUCUCGUUAUUCAUGCUUCUCGUAAUGAAAUCUCGCUCUAUCUUGCUUA